UGUUAUUGUAGUUGUAACAUUGAGGAGAGGGAAGGAUUUUAAUUGCUGAUGGUAUGUAAACACUUCAAGUUCUUUCCUCCAGUGAUGAUCUGAGUUGUUGCUACACAAUGCCAGCCUUCUGGUUUCAUUACUGACUUUUCCUUUCUUGUUCAGAAACCAGAUUCUAGAGUGAUAGUCUAAAUUUUGGAUGUCUCUUAGAGUCUAAAUAGGGUUUUUCACAAAGUAGGUAUUUAAUAAAUGUGGCUUUGUAUUGUAUUGUAUUUUGUUGGGUGGUCUUAUAUUGUAUUCUAUCAAAUUCCAUUGUAUUGUAUCAAUGAUUUUACAAGCACCAGCCAGACAUUAUACUAGUUACUGAGAUGACAAAGAAAAAAAAAUGCAAUUAUUCCUGCCCACAUGGAAUUUACAUUCUAUUGAGAGAGACAUCAUGGAUACAGAGGAUUAUGUAUAAAAUCUAAGCAAUUUUUUUUUCUUUUGAGGGAGGAAGCAAGUAUUGGAAUCUAUGGAAAUCAUGGAAGAGUUCAGGAGGUGGCUUUUGCAUGGGAUGUUGACAAAAGCUACAGAUUUUAAGGCAGAGGAAUAGGAAGUUUGUUUGGAUUGAUCCUCUCCCCCAGUAUCAAUUUCUCUCUUAUAACUGCAUCCCAUACCAAUCCUGCUUGUUUCCCUGUUGAGUAUGAUGAAUUUCUCCACCAAACUUUCUGCAGGCAUGUUCAAUUCUCCUUCAUCAUUUUUAGGGUAAAAGUUUUCUGCAAGAAUAUAGGAUUCUGCUGAGAGGGAGUACUGAGGCCACCUCAACCCUUGAUGCACAAUAAAUUUUCUGCGACGUUGCAAAAACGCCCUUGCUGAACAAGGAGCAUUGAUUUGUGAUCAUGGGAAAGGGUGUAAGCUGAGGGUCACAGCCAGUGGCUACAUGAACAGAGAUGCCUAAACAGGGCCUCUUGCCUAAGUGCAAGCUGCUGAAUUCCUGGAUUGACUCUCCUCCCAUUGGCAGAUACCAUGCAUACACAAAGCCCAUAAGCUGCUUCUCUAAAUGGUGAUUGGGGAUUAUCUACUGUUCACGCAUUGAUCAUGCUUGAAAAAAUGUAUAUCAACAAGGCUGUACAGCAUAAUAAACUGGAGCUCUUUU
rnacentral:lncRNA from 1 species